CCUACGGGAGUCAGCAGUGAGGAAUAUUGGUCAAUGGACGAGAGUCUGAACCAGCCAAGUAGCGUGAAGGAGGCCUGCCCAAUGGAUUGUACACUUCUUUUAUAAAGGAAUAAAACGAGGCACGCGUGCCUUUUUGCAUGUACUUGAUGAAUAAGGAUCGGCUAACUCCGUGCCAGCCGCCGCGGUAAUACGGAGGAUGCGAGCGUUAGACGGAUUUAUUGGGUUUAAAGGGAGCGUAUAUGGGUUGUUAAGUCAGUUGUGAAAGUUGGCGGGUCAACCGUAAAAUUGCAAUUGAUACUGGCUGUCUUGAGUAGAUUUGAGGUAGGCGGAAUGCGUGGUGUAGCGGUGAAAUGCUUAGAUAUCACGAAGAACCCCGAUUGCGAAGGCAGCUUACUAAACUGUGACUGACAUUGAUGCUCGAAAGUGUGGGUAUCGAACAGGAUUAGAUACCCUAGUAGUC
rnacentral:rRNA from 1 species